GUGGGGAAUCUUGCGCAAUGGGCGAAAGCCUGACGCAGCCAUGCCGCGUGAAUGAUGAAGGUCUUAGGAUUGUAAAAUUCUUUCACCGGGGACGAUAAUGACGGUACCCGGAGAAGAAGCCCCGGCUAACUUCGUGCCAGCAGCCGCGGUAAUACGAAGGGGGCUAGCGUUGCUCGGAAUUACUGGGCGUAAAGGGCGCGUAGGCGGACAGUUAAGUUGGGGGUGAAAGCCCGGGGCUCAACCUCGGAACUGCCUUCAAUACUGGCUGUCUUGAGUAUGAGAGAGGUUGGUGGAACUCCGAGUGUAGAGGUGAAAUUCGUAGAUAUUCGGAGGAACACCAGUGGCGAAGGCGGCUCACUGGCUCGAUACUGACGCUGAGGUGCGAAAGCGUGGGGAGCAAACAGGAUUAGAAACCCGGGUAGUCC
rnacentral:rRNA from 1 species